rnacentral:rRNA from 1 species
AUUGAACGCUGGCGGCAGGCCUAACACAUGCAAGUCGAGCGGAUGAAGGGAGCUUGCUCCUGGAUUCAGCGGCGGACGGGUGAGUAAUGCAUAGGAAUCUGCCUGGUCGUGGGGAAUAGGGUCAGGAAAGGGGCCCUAAUCCAGAACCGGACAUUAGGGGGAAAGGGGGGGUUCUUUGGACAUAAACCUUUCUGCUGACCCUAGGUGGGGUUAGCUAGUUGGUGGGGUAAAGGCGUACCAAGGCGACGAUCCGUAGCUGGUCUGAGAGGAUGAUCAGUCACACUGGAACUGAGACACGGUCCAGACUCCUACGGGAGGCAGCAGUGGGGAAUAUUGGACAAUGGGCGAAAGCCUGAUCCAGCCAUGCCGCGUGUGUGAAGAAGGUCUUCGGAUUGUAAAGCACUUUAAGUUGGGAGGAAGGGCAGUAAGUUAAUACCUUGCUGUUUUGACGUUACCAACAGAAUAAGCACCGGCUAACUUCGUG